UAACCCUCACUGAUCACUGACUUUAUUAAUUAUGUUUAUUUGGGUUUAGUAUUCUAAUGUUAUAUAUAGUUAAUUACAGGUAGACACUCUCACUGACCACUGACUUUAUUAAUGUUUAUUUGGGUUUAGUAUUCUAAUGUUAUAUAGAGUUAAUUACAGGUAGACACUAACUCUCACUGAUCACUGACUUUAUUAAUGUUUAUUUGGGUUUAGUAUUCUAAUGUUAUAUAGAGUUAAUUACAGGUAGACACUAACUCUCACUGAUCACUGACUUUAUUAAUUAUGUUUAUUUGGGUUUAGAAUUCUAAUGUUAUAUAGAGUUAAUUACAGGUAGACACUCUCACUGAUCACUGACUUUAUUAAUGUUUAUUUGGGUUUAAUAUUCUAAUGUUAUAUAGAGUUAAUUACAGGUAGACACUAACUCUCACUGAUCACUGACUUUAUUAAUUAUGUUUAUUUGGGUUUAGUAUUCUAAUGUUAUAUAGAGUUAAUUACA